CUUUUCCAUGUGAUGUAAUCAGAGUGAGACCCACAGAGCAUCAGUCCUCUUAAUCCUGUGCGUGAAAGUCCACAAACCGACUUCAUCUUUUUUGCUGCUUGAGAGACAUUUCUGACACCAGAGUGACAACAGCCAGAGAGAGGAGGCUGAUCAGACCGGAAGUAGCGCUUUAAUUCAUCAGUAACAGGUGGGUUCCUGCUGGUGCCAAACAUGAGAACCAAGCCUUGUUGAAACCCACACCAGGAAGUCAGCUGUCACUGCCGAAGCAACAACCUGCGAUAAAGCGGCGACUUCAGAAAGCUACCCAGGAGUUCAUGACGUCCCCGGGUGCAGAGCGAGUUCACUCAUAUCUCAGUGUACCUGCUCUCCAUUCAGACACAAACACCUCACAUCUCAGCUCCUAGUGCCCUGCAGCUCCAUACACCUGCCUGCACCGCCGCCGAGUGUCGUGUUUCAGCGAUGAGGCAACGUCCAACCAAUGAGCUGCGGUGAGAACGGUUAGGGAGUGUGGUGGGAACUCUCCUCCCAUCUCGCCUCUCUCUACCUGGGAACCAAAGUGGCCUCAGGGAGGGGCCACCCGGCCGCCUGCUGUCUGAAUGAACACCAAACAAAAACUCUCACCAACAGGUUCAGAAGAGUCACAAGUCUCAUGUGAGCUCCAGUUUCUUCUCUCAGCCUCUCCUGCAGUGUCUGGAAUUUCUGCGCCCUGGGAAAGAUUCGGAUCCGCUGCCAUCCCAUAAUGACGCACCAGUGAGGUUUCCCAGAGACUAUGGGUUGAGGAGGAAUUGGAAGUUUGUCGGCUUAGACCUGGUGUCAUUCCAUCAGUGUUAAACUUCCCGGCUCAUCUUGGAAGAGUACGUGCCAGAAAGACCACGACCAAGCAGCCUUGAGAUCUUAGGCAGCGUCUCCCUCAGGUCCCUCUCUAUCUCCCCACACAUCCACCAACCACUGGAACACAUCUCCAAAGUUCUGCCGGGCCAGCUCAGCUUCCCCUCAGAAGAAGUUCCGCCACCUGCCAGAUGAAGGAGCCUUUUGAGAGGCAGCUGGCAUCGUGAUUGGACUGUACUUUGGUCUGUUCCAAUCCAGCUUCAGCUCCAGAGACGGCAGGCGGGACGAGUCAACGGAGGCCUGGUGGACGAAGGCAUGCAGCUGAGUACAAUCCAGAAAACAACAGAGGAGGAGUGCAGCAGCCAGAACAACCAGAGUAGCAUCGUAUGUCUCUUAGAAAACAUCAUAGUAUAGCCUUUGCUAUGAAAAAACGCCAUCAUAUACAUCGUAUAUUGUACAAAUAACAAGUGAAAGCAAAGAGACAUACAUUGUAGAAUUGCAGUAAUUGUGGGCUGACUGAUUUACUGAUUAUCAGUAUUUUAUUUUUUACUGAUUUACGGUAAUAAAUACAUUUAAAAAUGGUG